AAUACAGCAGCUACUAACCUUACUAUGUCAGGCCUGUCUAUAGUGUGGUAGAAGUAGGUGUGUCCCCUUGUAUACCUUCAUGUGGUAAUGGAUUAGUCUCUGUCAUGUUCUCCAGCCACUUCUUCAUAAACAUCCCCACCCAAUUCUAAAUCCAAUAAUCUCAAACCACAGUCACCCUGCCGUCCCCCUCUGUAUUAGCAUGCUUUUCAUAUUUAUGUGAUAUGACAACAAAUGUAAACUUUCCAGAUGUGUUUUAUCUUUAGGGUCAGUCAUGUAGGGCAUCUGAUCUGGAACCUGCACAAUGUGGAGCAACAGUUGUAUAGUAUAGUAGGGAAAGAUGGUGCCUAUAGUA